AGGCCGAGAUGCGAUGGGGAGCUUCUGGAGACAGAAGCGAAGGGGCUGGCACUAAACUGUCGAGAAAAGCUUCUAGUGAGGACUCAGGCACCCGUACCGAAACCGACACAGGUAGGCAGGAUGAGAAUUCUAAGGUGCGCGGGAAAACCCUCGUUAAGGAACUCGGCAAAAUAUAUCCGUAACUUCGGGAAAAGGAUAACCCAGCGUACGUGAAGUGCAGAAGCGCACGGAGCGGAGAUGGGUGGCAGAAGAGAGGCCCAAGCGACUGUUUACCACAAACACAGGCGUCUGCUAAAGCGAAAGCUGAUGUAUAGAUGCUGACACCUGCCCGGUGCUGGAAGGUUAAGAGGAAGUGUUAGCGCAAGCGAAGCAGUGAAUUGAAGCCCCAGUAAACGGCGGCCGUAACUAUAACGGUCCUAAGGUAGCGAAAUUCCUUGUCGGGUAAGUUCCGACCCGCACGAAAGGUGUAACGAUUUGGGCACUGUCUCAACGAGGGACCCGGUGAAAUUGAAGUACCUGUGAAGAUGCAGGUUACCCGCGACUGGACAGAAAGACCCCAUGGAGCUUUACUGUAACCUGAGAUUGGAUUCCGGUAAGAGAUGUACAGGAUAGUUGGGAGGCUGAGAAGUGAGUACGCCAGUAUU
rnacentral:rRNA from 1 species